UACCGCGGUUAUACGAGAGGCUCAAGUUGAUAGACCCCGGCGUAAAGAGUGGUUAAGAUUAGACCGGACACUAAAGCCGAACAACCUCAAUGCUGUUAUACGCAUCCGAAGGUCGGAAGUACAACUACGAAAGUGGCUUUAACUACCUGAACCCACGAAAGCCAAGACA
rnacentral:rRNA from 1 species